rnacentral:lncRNA from 1 species
AAUCACUCCGGUUUACCUUACAUUUGAGAAGGCAAGGUCAGCCUUUUGAUGUGUGUUUUGAAAAGAGUAAAGACUAAGACCACAGCUUUGUUUGGGAGAGGUUUUUUCUUUUUUAGACUUAGAUCAAUUACAUUAAAACAUUCAGCUUUCAAACAAUGACCCCAAAGAAAAUAAUGCUGGCUUUUAUCUUUUAUGAAAGUAAUAUUUGCCUUACUACUCUUGGGAUUGAACAUUCCCUUUCUAUUGAAAUGAUUCACAGGGAUGCUGCUUAGAUGGCCUGAUAGUACACUGACAUUAAUAGCAGAAUAUUUCAAUCAGAGCUGUCUGACCAUAAGGGAAUAACUGUUCCCAUUGAUUAAGGCAAAAACCAAGUUAGUUUGUAAGCAAUUGAAGUUGGUUUAUGGGUUUUGUUAUUUGGCAUUUACAUCUCUUUCCAACCCACAGAACUCAAAAGACUUAACAAGCUGAUUGAAGCAGUAAGGAGAAGGCAUUUGGGGAGUGAUGCAAAAGGUCACUUACCCGAAAGCAGAAAUUUUUAGCCUUUUGGAUCCAAGAUAAAGGCAAGUGGCUUUCUCAGAAUAUUACAGGUCUGAAUGAGAAAGUGGUCAAACUUUAGGAAAGCAUGUUUCAAAACAUUUGUCAGGACAUCCUUUUCAUUUAAUCACAUAAAUCGCAUUCAGUUUUCUUCCUUCUUUAUGGAUCAUUUAAAGAGAAACAUAAGUUUAAUAAAUGUAAAUAAACAUCUUUUUACCUGUGUUUAACCAUAAAGUCCUUUUUAAGUGCCAAGUUCUAAGUGCUAUAUAGUAACAACUCACAUAUGACCCAAUGACCCAUGAAUUAUAUAGCUAGUCUGUGUGUUAGAUACUACAUAGAAUAUGAAAAUACAUUUUUGUAUAUGAAUCUGUAUCAAGCUACUUUUCUGCCCUUCUAGGACAUGCCUGGUUCCAGCUCCUAAGUUAUUAGUUUGGUGAAGUCUAGCCAUGAUCUCGGAUUUCUAGUAGCAGGGUGUAAAAUAGAAUACAGUCACAAUAGGUGGAACUGGGAGUCAACAGAAAGCCCAAGAUAGAUAGAGAUAUAGGCCCUUAUGGAACAAAGAACAAGGAGAUGAUCCUGUCCAGAGCUAGAAAGGACCUCAGGAAAAGCUUCAUCUGAGGGGCAAGAUGGGUCAAGCUUCUAAAGUAUAGAGAUGGUAAUGAUGGAAGUCCUUCUAGAAAAGUCCACUGAGAUCAAAGCAAGGCCCAAGCACAGGGCCCACAUUGCCAGGAAGGGAACAGGCAAAUGUUCCAAUCCAGGUGGGAUGUAAGAAGUGGUUCUGUUCUCCAGGAAUCUGGGCUAUUCAGAGGAAGGAUUGCCCUCUGCCCUUGGGCAUAGACUUCUGGGGAGAUGAGAUCUAAUCACCCUCCUUUCUUUUGCCAAGGGGAAGUUUCUGAUAUGCCACACAGGCAGCUCUUCUUUAAGUGAGAGAAGCAGAGCAGCUUAUCAUGGCAGGUAAACAGGCUUCCAAUGAAGUCAUCAACCUUGCUCCAGACGAAGCCCCACCUGAUACUGAUAGAUACUAGGCACACGCCAGCACUGACCUGAAUAUUACCUUCUACAGGCACACGCACAAGCAUGCAUACACAAACACACACACACACACACACACACACACACAGGGACGGAGGGGUGGGGGUGGUUAUGUUAUCCCAAAUUCCUCCUAUGCAAAAACCCCUCAAGUAUAAGUACUCUCUCCUUGCAGGUUUCAUACCUAGAAAAGUGUCCCUGGGGAUCUUCAGAAAAGCAAAUCAAAAAGACAAGGCCUAAAUGGAACCAGCUGAUGGUGGCUAGCACAGAUCCCUAUGAAAGUAUCUAGGGCACUGGUAAUAAAGACUGUUUUCUUGAACCAAGAAGAGGUGAAGCUGGGGGUGGAGAAUGUUUGGUAGCAAAUAAACACAAAUUCACUCAAAAGUAUAUAAAGGGAUAUAUGUCUAUAGGAAGAGUUGGCCAUCCAUGGUCCUCUUCCAUUGUCUGCAUCUCUCUCCCCACCCUUCUUCUCUGGAUCUAUGUAUCUCCUUCAUGCCUCUCUUCUCUCACACAUACCCUGCUUUCCUCACUCACUUGGAUCAUGUGAUCUCUCCCUUCUAUGAUUCCCUUUGCUCCUGUUUUCUUCCUUCAUGUGGGGCUUUCUGUGCCUUGAUUCACCCUCACCUGGUGUCUUCAGAGCCAUUACUAAUGGAGGCUUCACUCCCCAAAAUGGAGGACCCUUGCAGCCCAUCUCCCACCUGUUCACUUUGGGCUCGGAUCUUCACACCACUUGUGGGAAGGCAAAUGCAUAUCUGAUGACUAUCUCUAAUCCAAUCAGGUUUGGAAAAAGACAAGUAAGGCUGCCCUUCAGGGCUAGGUGCAGGUCAGUUCUCAGAGAGGAGUGUGGGUAAAGGGGCAGGAUGAGUAUUUCCAGCACAUCCUCCACAAAGACAUCUUCAAGGGCUUUCAAGAUUUCUCAGUCAGCCCACUCAUCCAAUUCCCUGGUUCUGUCCUUUGGCCUCUGGUUGCUGGACAGAAAAGCAAAACAAAAAGACAAGGCCUAAAUGGAAACCAGCUGAUAGUGGCUAGCACAGGAUUCCUAUGAAAAUAUCUAGGGCACUGGUAAUAUACAAAUUGCAUUGUACAUUCUGUACAGUUCUUGGGUUGGAAAAUUAAGUUCCAGAUUCUAAGUGUUGUGUAAUACUGUUCAGCAGUAUUGAAGACAGAGAAUUUUCCAUAUUAAUUCAAUAGAUUUCACAUUUAAGCCUGAAGGAUGAGGAAUGCCAUGAACCAUUAGUUUUCUUUUUUUUUCCCCAGUCUGAGGGAGGUAUUUCAAUUAAUCCAAACCCUGUAUCUUCAGUAUUUUGAUAACCUCGUAUCUCUUGCCACAUUUUCUGAGAAGUCAUAUACCAAAAUAAAAUAUACAGGCAUGUUUGUUGUGGUAGAUUGAUAUUAGCUUCAAAUAUGGGAGGACUGCAUAUUCAGGAACUCUUUUAAGUUAAAUACCAAUAAGAGUUGCCAUAGACAGGUAAUGACAGGAAAAGAUACAGAAAAAAAUUCACAUUAUUUUACCUCUGCUUAGUCCUAAAGUGAAGCAUCUUGUUACAUGUGGUUUUAUUUUGACUGGUUAAUUGUUCAUGAAGUUCUUUAUAUUUCUAAAUGCCUUCUUCAGCAUUAAUUUAGGCACAGAAUGAUAACUUUAUUAUGUACAUAUAUGAAUACACCACCAAUGAAUCUCCAUAUCAUGUACAACCACAAGACUGGGGUCCUAAUUAGAAUAAUUUAUAUUCCAUGUAUGUAUAAUAUGUCAAAAUACACUCUAUUGUCAUAUAUAUCUAAAAAGAACAAAUAAAAGAAUAAGAUAUAUUCUAUGCUUGUAUAAUUAUAUCAAAAUGGACUCUACUGUCAUGUAUAACUAAAAAGAACUAAUGAAAAAUUGUUAUAGCAGCACAAAGGAUUGGUGCAUUGGGUCUGGCAGUCAACAAUUGGGCACAUCACCAAAAUUCACUAAAAAAUAUUUUGCUUUAUUACCCAUUUCUAAGUAAGGUCAGACACAUUUCAUUAUUCUUUCUUGAAUAAAUAAUGUAUCCUACCUCCAAAAAAUAAAGGCACUAUACAAAAUAUCUGCUUCUGUAGAAGACCUAGAAAAUAUUCUGCUUAAAAUAAGAUGUAUUUUUUUCUUAUGUG